rnacentral:rRNA from 1 species
AGCGAACGCUGGCGGCAGGCUUAACACAUGCAAGUCGAGCGGGCACCUUCGGGUGUCCGCGGCAGACGGGUGAGUAACACGUGGGAACGUACCCUUCGGUUCGGAAUAACGCUGGGAAACUAGCGCUAAUACCGGAUACGCCCUUAUGGGGAAAGGUUUACUGCCGAAGGAUCGGCCCGCGUCUGAUUAGCUAGUUGGUGGGGUAACGGCCCACCAAGGCGACGAUCAGUAGCUGGUCUGAGAGGAUGAUCAGCCACACUGGGACUGAGACACGGCCCAGACUCCUACGGGAGGCAGCAGUGGGGAAUAUUGGACAAUGGGCGCAAGCCUGAUCCAGCCAUGCCGCGUGAGUGAUGAAGGCCUUAGGGUUGUAAAGCUCUUUUGUCCGGGACGAUAAUGACGGUACCGGAAGAAUAAGCCCCGGCUAACUUCGUG